rnacentral:rRNA from 1 species
CCCUUAGAUGUUCUGGGCUGCACGCGCGCUACACUGAUGCGAUCAACAAGUUUUUCCUAUGUCGAUAGACACGGGUAAUCUUUUGAACUCGCAUCGCGAUGGGGAUAGAUUAUUGUAAUUAUUAAUCUUCAACGAGGAAUUCCUAGUAGGUGCAAAUCAUCAGUUUGCAUCGAUUACGUCCCUGCCCUUUGUACACACCGCCCGUCGCUGCUACCGAUUGGUUGAUCUGGUGAAUUAUUCGGACUGCCGGCUGAAGGGGUUUCCUCAUCUGCCAGCGGAAAGUCUUGUUAACCCUAUCAACUAGAGGAAGCAGAAGUCGUAACA